GUUUGAUCAUGGCUCAGGAUGAACGCUGGCGGCGUGCCUAAUACAUGCAAGUCGAACGGAGACAUUGUAGCAAUACGAUGUUCUUAGUGGCGAACGGGUGAGUAACGCGUUGAUGACCUGCCCCGAAGAGGGGGAUAACAGUCCGAAAGGACUGCUAAUACCCCAUGUGGUCUCAGGGAUUAGAUGCCCUGAGUCUAAAGGAGUAAUCCACUUUGGGAGGGACCUGCGUCCCAUCAGCUAGUUGGUAAGGUAACGGCCUACCAAGGCUUCGACGGGUAGGGGACCUGAGAGGGUGGCCCCCCACAAUGGAACUGAAACACGGUCCAUACACCUACGGGUGGCAGCAGUAGGGAAUAUUGGUAAUGGGCGAAAGCCCGAACCAGCAACGCCGCGUGUGCGAUGAAGGCCUUCGGGUCGUAAAGCACUUUUUGAGAAGAUGAUGAAGGACAGUACUCUCAGAAUAAGUCUCGGCUAACUACGUGCCAGCAGCAGCGGUAACACGUAGGAGACAAGCGUUAUCCGGAUUUACUGGGCGUAAAGCGCGUGCAGGCGGUUUGGAAAGUUGGAUGUGAAAGCUCCUGGCUUAACUGGGAGAGGUCAUUCAAAACUACCAGACUCGAGAGUGGUAGAGGAAGGUGGAAUUCCGGGUGUAGUGGUGAAAUGCGUAGAUAUCCGGAGGAACACCAGUGGCGAAAGCGGCCUUCUGGACCAUUUCUGACGCUCAGACGCGAAAGCUAGGGUAGCAAACGGGAUUAGAGACCCCGGUAGUCCUAGCCGUAAACUAUGUUGACUUGGCGUUGGUGGGUUAAUAUCCACCAGUGCCGUAGCUAACGCGAUAAGUCAACCGCCUGGGGACUACGAUCGCAAGAUUAAAACUCAA
rnacentral:rRNA from 1 species